rnacentral:lncRNA from 1 species
UGAAGACAAGACAGGGAAGAUGGAGAAGAAAGAGGAGAGGGACGGGGUUCAAGCCUUUUCCCCUAAGUGUGUCACUGAGUCUUGACUGUCUGACUCCUUGGGAGGCUUGGAGUGUGGGCUGGGUGCCUGCUGAGGCAGGAGCCUGGGCUCUGGGGGCCGCAGGAACGGGCUGGCUUGAACCCGGGCCAGGAAGUUUUCAUCUAAAAUUGAUUAGGACUUGGAACAUUCCUUCUCAAACAAAUUGUAUUCUGAUGACUUGGACACUCCCUCACAGCUGGAGAGCCAGGAAGCCAAGCUGGGCCUUUGUUCCCUCUUUAGAAACCAACCAUCCCACAGUGACCUCUGUGGAGAGUGCAGGGUCCAGUCUUGAGGGCCGAAAGCUUUUCUGCGAUGCUCUCCAUCCUUUUAUUUCAGGAAAUAAAACGAAGACCAAUGGGUGGGAGCUGUGA